GAUAAUAAUAUCAAUGAUAAAAUGAAGAGUUAUGUAAUUAAAAAUACGAAUAAAUCUUUGAAAGGAAAAUCCGAUGGAUCCAUGACGAUUAAAUUCCCUAUUAUCAUGAUUUAUGUUAUCAAUAAUAGCCUUUUUAUACCGCAUUCUAAUAAAUAUGUUACUUAAUUUAUUUAAAGUUAUCUAUUCUUAUAAUUAUAUUAUAAACAGUUAUUAAGUUAAAAUUUAAAUAUUUCCUAUUUAUGCAAUUUAACCUAUGUCUUAUCAAUAGCCUAUUUGGGUUAACAAUAUAAGGUCACAUUAAAGUCUGAUAAAAUUGUCAAACAAUCUGUUGAAUAUAACAAUCUACCGUCUAACUACUUGAGUCACCUUUUUAAGAAUUUAUCUAAUAAUGAGUUAAACAUAUAGUAUCCUUUAAUUAAAAAUAUUUACAUCAGUACUUUUUACUUUAACAUUGGGCGUUAGUUACAUUUUUUAUACAUAUAUUUCGACUGUAAAGUGAAAGUGACUUGGUGGCAAAAAUAAAUAGUUUCCCCCAAAAAAUUACAAUGUCAUUUUAUAAUUUUAAAUUAAAUGUAAUUUUAUUGUUAUUAGUCUGGGUAAAUUUCACAGAAAGUAUCGUGAAACGAUGUUUUAUUUGCCGUUCACGAGGUGAAUUGGGAAGCUGUAAAGAUCUCUUUAGAUACACGAAUCUCACAGAACUGAGUUUAGAGCCAGGUAUUGGUGUGGAAACCACACCUUGUGCUUCUGGAUGGUGUGGAAAAAUAAUUGAAACACGAGAUGUAGAUGCUAAAGAACAGGAAUUUGAUACAGCUAUCCAGAGAAUUUGUUUACAACGAGGACCUUCUGAUGGUGAAGAACGUUGUGAUGAUACCAUUUGGUCAUACAAAAAAGUUUUUAUGUGUUUUUGUCAUGGUGAUUUAUGUAAUGAUGCAUCUGCUUUAUUAUAUAAUAAUUAUUUAUUAAUAUUACUGUUAGGAAUUUAUUUCUUGUUAAAAAUGUAAAAAAAUAAUCAUUAUUUUUACUAAAAAUAAUUAUUUAAGACAAUAAUAAUUUGAAUAUAUGUAUCAUUUUUUAAAUUUUUUAUUUGAAUAUUGAAUCUAUAGUUUUUUAUGUUUUUAAUUAUAGAUCAAUUUAAUAAUUAACAGUUUGUUGAUGAUAUCUAAGAGGCUAAUAAUACUUAAAUAAAUUUAAGUAGAUUUACUACAAGAUCAUAUUUUUAAGUUAUUCAACUCUUACUCAUAAUCAAACAAAUUUUAAAGUUAAUUGAAUAUUACAAAAAUCAUCUUUUAAAUAACAUUUUUAUCAUUCAGGUUCUAUUUUCCUUUUAUUUUUUUAAUAAUUUAGACAUUUAUCAGGAAUUUUUUCAAAAAUUUGUAUUUCAGUAGAGGAUCAAGGCAAUAGGGUUAUAGGUGUCAUUAACUCCCUCCCAGACAGAGCUGUUUUGGUAGUUAUUUCUUUCAACAAGUCAAGUAGAGUUACUUUAAUUAAAAACUAUAUUAAUUUCUAAAAUAUUCCAAAUUUCUAACUUAGCUAAAAAAAAAAUAGUAACAUAGUUUAGAUUAGUAGUUACAAUUUAUAUUAAUGAUGAUUUAAAAGUAAAUUAAACAACUGAUAUUUUGAUUGAAUGUCCUAAGUAGGUACAUAAUAAUCUUGACUCCUUGGAAUAUCAUCUUUUACUUUAUUAAAUCAUUAAUAAUAAAAGUGUAACAAAAUAGAAUUUAUAUAUGAAUGCGGAACAUUUUUUCAGGAAGGGUACUAAAUAUGUAAAUGUGUAUGCAUUAUAAUAUAAUUUAUUAUAAAGAAUUUUAAUUUGGAGUUUGUUUUAGCAAAUUUUUUUUUAUAUUUUAAAUGUAGAGUAACCAUUUAAGCUGGGUUUGAUGGUAUAUUAUAUAUAAAUUUGUAAAUUAUUAUUAACAAAUUAUAUUAAAAUAAAUAUACAUCCUUAUAUUUUAUUCAUAACAGGUGUAUUUUAAACUAGUAGAUUAGGUACCAAAUUAAAAUUAGAGACUUUCUCUUUCUUUUUCCUAGCCUUAAUCCAAACUACUUGGGGUCGGCCACCCUCAUAGAAAAAAUUGAAACAUAAAAUAAAACAAAAAAAAUAAAACAUCAUUUGUUCUUCCAUCACCUCAUCUCUUUUCAAAAUACUUCCUUGUCUAUUUCAUCACAUCUUACUUGUGAUGUAUAGGCACUUAUUACAUUCAACACUUUUUUCUUAAUUUAUUUGACAACUUUAUUUUUCAUCUCCUCAUCUAUUAUUAUCCUUACACCGUUCUUUUUAUUAACCUGAGUAUAUUAUUUUAUAACCCUCACCAAUUUCCCUUGCUUUCUCUCCCUUCCACUUAGUUUCCUACACACAACAAAUGUUCACUUUUCUCCUCUUCAAUACUUUUACUAUUUAUCUACUUCUACCAGUCAACAUUCAAAGUACCUAUUCUUACUUACUAUAUAAUACUAUAAUAUGUUAUAAUACUUUUCCUCGGUAAACAUUCCGAUGUUUUAAUAUAUUAAUGUCCCACUAAAUCUAAUUUCUUGAAAUUAUGUUUCCUAAUUUUUACGUUUCUAUCAAUAUUUCUAUACUGUUAAAUAUUUUACCAUAAAAAAAAUCAUUCCUAUCUUAUAUAUUCCCGAAUCGUACGAGAGCCUGUUAUUGCAACUAGACCAACAAGUGUUAUCAUAAUGUAUUAAUUGUUAUCGGAUUGAUAUUAACUUUACGUGAUUGAUAAUAGAAAUAUCUUUUUUUACCAAAAUUUUGUUUUGUAAUUAGAUAUCAUAUCUUUAACGUCGUAUGCCGUGACACAAUGUUAUUAUUUGUAUUUUUUUAAAAUAACAAAAUUCAAUAUAGCAACAAAAAUUAUAAAAUAAUUAGUAUUAUAAUAAAACUUUCUUUAUAAUCUGGUUACAUCACAAGUGAAUGAACACUUAAGUUUUUAACUGAUAUUUGUAUAAUCUGAUUGUGCUAGAAAUAUACUUAAUGAAUUGAAAAAUGUAUUGUAAACUACUGAAUUCAUUUUUCAUGUAUGUAUGAAAAAAUGAAUAAUGUUGACAAUCUAAAUGAAAUGUCCAUGCAUUCUUCAAGAUCUAUUUCAGACGUAAACUGUAUGCCACCUUCUUUGCCUGUAGGAUUAACAUCAUUAUAUUCAUUAUGCAAAAGAAUAUAUCCUGACCAAUGUAACCCAUUACAAGCAACUACU